rnacentral:rRNA from 1 species
ACUCCUACGGGAGGCAGCAGUGGGAAUAUUGCACAAUGGGCGCAAGCCUGAUGCAGCCAUGCCGCGUGUAUGAAGAAGGCCUUCGGGUUGUAAAGUACUUUCAGCAGUGAGGAAGGUGGAGUCGUUAAUAGCGGCCUCAUUUGACGUUAGCUGCAGAAGAAGCACCGGCUAACUCCGUGCCAGCAGCCGCGGUAAUACGGAGGGGGUUAGCGUUGUUCGGAAUUACUGGGCGUAAAGCGCACGUAGGCGGAUCGGAAAGUUGGGGUGAAAUCCCGGGGUUCAACCCCGGAACGGCCUCCAAAACUAUCGGUCUAGAGUUCGAGAGAGGUGAGUGGAAUUCCGAGUGUAGAGGUGAAAUUCGUAGAUAUUCGGAGGAACACCAGUGGCGAAGGCGGCUCACUGGCUCGAUACUGACGCUGAGGUGCGAAAGUGUGGGGAGCAAACAGGAUUAGAUACCCUGGUAGGCUCUGCU